UAGAAUCACAUGAUGAUGAUGAUGAUGAUCAGAGCUAUACUGACAUCUGGACAAAGAGCAAAAGUGGAUCGAGGCCUGGAUUCACAGUUUAAAGAUUGAAAGUUUUUGUGAACAGAAUUUAGGUUAGCAGCAUAGAAAAAUCACUGCAUGCAGACCUUUCAACUCUGGAAAAGAAACCUUGGAUACGCAAGACCUUGUUGAGGCCAGGGGCAAGAAAUAGCAAGCAGUCUACCUGACCUACAACUGUGAAAUUCACUACAUUGCAUUUUCAAUACAGACACAUUUUGCCGGAAAACGAAUCUGACUUCACAUUAUGAAAUUUUAACAAGAGAGAGGCAAUUUGAUGAGCUUUCAUUCAAGAGGUCCCUCGUUGCUGAACGAAAAUUAAGGCUUUGGAGCUAUGAACCUGAACGUUAACAUUACCGCCUAUGGAAAUGCAUUAGUGGACUAUACCAAUAUUGAACUCCAUGCUGAUACCUUGAAUAUUGGAUUGGAACUUCAUCAAAGAUUAAAACACAACAAUGAGGCACACUAGAUAGACUUUCAGUACAGACUUCACACCAUAAAAUUUUAACAGGAAAGAGGCAAUUUGAUGAGCUUUCAUUCAAGAGGUCCCUCGUUGCUGAACGAAAAAUAGGGCCGGAGCUAUGAACCGGAAUGUUUACAAUACCGCCUAUGGAAAAUGCAUCAGUGGACUAUACUCAGGCGUUUCAUGUGGAUAGUAAGGUAGAGAGCAUUGCAGGAAAAAUACACAGCUAGUGUUAGAAAGCGUUUAAUGGGUUUUACCAUCAGAAAAAUCUGGUAAUUGAAGUGGUGAAAUGACGGGCGGUUGCCAAAAGGGUACCCCUUUGUCUGGACAACUCAUACAGUUUUCAAGAUAUUAAGGUUUUUUGUUUUGCAGAUCAAUUGUAUAUAUAAUCGAGAUAUGCAUUAUUGCUAGGAUUUUAACUUUAUAAAUUUUUGCAAAAAAUACCCACUUUUGAACUAGUCAUUUGCUUAUACAUGUAGGGUACAUCUUUUGUGCAAAUAACUCCUCCCAACAGUUUUGAAGAUAGGGAUAUCUUAAUUUUGCAGAUUAAUUGUACAAUCUCAACCCCCAUAAACUUGAAAUGAUGACCAAAUAUCUUAAAAACAAAUGGGAUCUUCACCCCUAAACAAUAAAUAUUCUUGUUCAUUGUGUAGGUCAUGACCUUAGAGGGUGGUUAUGAAGAUAAACAUUUACAUUUUUCUUCAAUACAGAAUGUUGAUACAGGAAAAACAUUCGAUAUUUUUAUUUUAUAUAUUAUAUAUAGCAACAAGAGUAAAAUGGUCAAACAAGAGGAAAAGGAAGUAAGGGAAUAUUUUUCAGACUGUUGCACAUCAAAUACACUCCCAUGAAUGAAAAUGUGCCCAAGACUUACAGAAUGUAACUAAAAGUGCAGAAGAAUAUUGUGGAAAAGGAUAUAUGGGAGACCAUAAAGAAAAAAUAUGGAAUGACCUUAAGAGAGUUAAAAAGUAAUAAAUUUGCUAAGAUUUGCACUUUUGAUUGAGUUAUGUCUUAGUGUACAUAUAACUUUGAUGAAAUUGUUAAUAAUAUAUGUGUGUGCUCAUAGAAAAGAACGUCACGCAUAUGCAUUGUAAUACCAGUAAAUAUUGUAUUGAAAUUGUUGAUCAUGUUAAGAUUUUCAAAGUUUAUGAUGAGUUAAGGUAUGUGAAUUGUAAUUCCACACAUACAAAAAUCUUUGUCACUGUUUUAAAAAAAAACCCCGAAAUGUACCAGUAUGUGGAUAUGAACAUUUUUUGAAUAUUUUUGGAUGUGUAUUUUUAUGAGUCAGCCAAUAACUGUUGAAUAUUUAAACUUUCUCUGCAUUUUUGUAUGCGAGCUGAAUAUUAUGCCAGUUUUAAGGUUUAUGAAAUGGUCUGUUUGAUCUUCUUAACCAUACAUGUAAGAUGUCUGACAAUCUUUCUGCAAGAUUUGAUAAAUUUGUGUACAUGCAUAUGCAUUUGUGUAUAUUACAUAUUUGAUGAUAAUUGUUGAAAUUGUUGAUAAUGUUGAGAUUUUCAAAGUUUAUGACAGUUAUGUAAAUUGAUUAAUUUUGAGUUUAUGAUCAUAAAUUGUUGUUUAAAGUUCCUUUAAGUUGUUGUUUUUCACUUUCCUUAAUAAAAUAUUAAUGAUG